UGACCCACCGGAAUGGCUUCAAGUGUUGGACAGUUUGGCUUCGUUGAAGCCAUUUUAACAUGACGCUACAGUCUUUUAACGACUGAACGUUUUCACUUUCG
rnacentral:lncRNA from 1 species